AUUGAACGCUGGCGGAAUGCUUUACACAUGCAAGUCGAGCGGCAGCGCGGGGCAACCUGGCGGCGAGCGGCGAACGGGUGAGUAAUGUAUCGGAACGUGUCCUUGAGUGGGGGAUAGCCCGGUGAAAACCGGAUUAAUACCGCAUACGCAGGAGACUGGAAAGCGGGGGAUCGCAAGACCUCGCGCUGGAGGAGCGGCCGAUAUCCGAUUAGCUAGAUGGUGAGGUAAAGGCUUACCAUGGCUGUGAUCGGUAGCUGGUCUGAGAGGAUGAUCAGCCACACUGGGACUGAGACACGGCCCAGACUCCUACGGGAGGCAGCAGUGGGGAAUUUUGGACAAUGGGGGCAACCCUGAUCCAGCCAUUCCGCGUGAGUGAAGAAGGCCCUCGGGUUGUAAAGCUCUUUUGUCGGGGACGAAACGGUUACGGUUAAUACCUGUGACUACUGACGGUACCCGAAGAAUAAGCACCGGCUAACUACGUGCCAGCCGCCGCAGUAACAC
rnacentral:rRNA from 1 species